UACGUAGGGGGCAAGCGUUGUCCGGAAUCAUUGGGCGUAAAGAGCGUGUAGGCGGUUUAGUAAGUCUGCUGUGAAAGUCCAGGGCUCAACCCUCAGAGGCCGACCGAUACUGCCGGGCUAGAGUCCGGAAGAGGCGAGUGGAAUUCCUGGUGUAGCGGUGAAAUGCGCAGAUAUCAGGAGGAACACCAAUGGCGAAGGCAGCUCGCUGGGACGGUACUGACGCUGAGGCGCGAAAGCGUGGGGAGCAAACAGG
rnacentral:rRNA from 1 species